UAGAGACAAACGAAUAGAGAAAGGUAGAAAGAAAAUCAAGGAAAGAUGACACCGUCCGCGUCUUUGACCUCCGGGAGAAUUUAGCCUGGAAUCCUUCACAAGAUCCUCCUCUGAAUUCAAUUCGUUUCUUUGAUCGCUGGUUGGUCUCCUCUUUUGAGGGUUUUGAAAACCCUAGUUUUCUUCCAGGAAAUCUUGCCAGAGUGUAAAACCUCAAUGGAGUUCUUGUCCAAUUCAAAUACGGAAUCUAAAGAAUCAAUGUUUCAUUCAGAAUAAGAAGCUA